GUGCCAGCCGCCGCGGUAAGACGUAGGGGGCAAGCGUUGUCCGGAAUUACUGGGCGUAAAGGGCGUGUAGGCGGUGCGAUACGUAGCGGUUUUAAGCCUCCGGCUCACCCGGAGGAGGGCGGCUAAACGGUCGCGCUAGAGGGCAGGAGAGGUGCGUGGAAUUCCUGGUGGAGCGGUGAAAUGCGUAGAGAUCAGGAAGAACACCCGUGGCGAAGGCGGCGCACUGGCCUGGCCCUGACGCUGAGGCGCGACAGCGUGGGGAGCGAACGGGAUUAGAUACCCCGGUAGUCCACGCCGUAAACGAUGGGUACUUGGUGUCGCCCGGGUCCACCGGGCGGUGCCGGAGCUAACGCACUAAGUACCCCGCCUGGGGAGUACGGCCGCAAGGUUGAAACUCAAAGGAAUUGACGGGGGCCCGCACAAGCAGUGGAGCAUGUGGUUUAAUUCGACGCAACGCGCAGAACCUUACCAGGCCUUGACGGUCGCCGCAACCCC
rnacentral:rRNA from 1 species